GAUGAACGCUAGCGGCAGGCCUAAUACAUGCAAGUCGAACGGGAUCCAGAUCAAAGCUUGCUUUGGUCUGGUGAGAGUGGUGCACGGGUGCGUAACGCGUGAGCAACCUACCCUUGUCAGGGGGAUAGCCCGGCGAAAGUCGGAUUAAUACCGCAUGACAUCAUUGAGAGGCAUCUUUCGAUGAUCAAAGAUUUAUCGGACAAGGAUGGGCUCGCGUGACAUUAGCUCGUUGGUAAGGUAACGGCUUACCAAGGCUGCGAUGUCUAGGGGCUCUGAGAGGAGAAUCCCCCACACUGGUACUGAGACACGGACCAGACUCCUACGGGAGGCAGCAGUAAGGAAUAUUGGUCAAUGGACGGAAGUCUGAACCAGCCAUGCCGCGUGCAGGAGGACGGCCCUAUGGGUUGUAAACUGCUUUUAUACGGGAACAAACGUCGGUACGUGUACCGGUCUGAGUGUACCGUAAGAAUAAGGAUCGGCUAACUCCGUG
rnacentral:rRNA from 1 species